AGGUUCGUCAACAUCGAAAGAAGGAAAGCAAAAUAAGUUCAGCGGCAUGCAAGCCAAGGAGAAAUUUUACCAGAAAAGAAAAAUGCUGAAACAACAAAAGAAAUUUGGGCUAUCAACCUCACAGAAAACUCCAUCGAAAUCAAAUAAGAGAAAUAAUAAAAGGACGUCGUUUAAACAGAAGAGAAAAGGAAAAUAGUUUGGAUGUAAUGUACAGUUAUUGUAAAAACCCGUAGCAAGCUUGUUAACAAGUUUUGACAAUGUUGUCCCAACAACUUUGUCAACAAGAUGUGUUUGCAAUAGGUUUGUAACAAGCUUAUCAACGAGUUGUGACAACGCUGUUCCCGACAACUUGUCAACAAGAUGUGUUUGUUUGUAGCAAGCUUGUUAACAAGUUGUGACAAUGCUGUUCCAACAACUUGUCAACAAGAUGUGUUUGCAAUAGGU
rnacentral:lncRNA from 1 species